rnacentral:snoRNA from 1 species
CCCCCUGGCAAUGGGCAAAAAGACACCUUGUUGGCAGUGUUGUUUUUAUAUCAGUCAAGGGCAGAGCAGAUGGCAGUCCUUUGUUCAUCCUAGCUUCAUGCUUGGCUUGGUGCCAAAGCUGUCUUAUGCCUAGGACUCAUAA